GCUGGGGCAGCUACACAUGCAAGUCGAGCGGAACGACUUAACUGAACCUUCGGGGAACGUUAAGGGCGUCGAGCGGCGGACGGGUGAGUAAUGCCUAGGAAAUUGCCCUGAUGUGGGGGAUAACCAUUGGAAACGAUGGCUAAUACCGCAUGAUGCCUACGGGCCAAAGAGGGGGACCUUCGGGCCUCUCGCGUCAGGAUAUGCCUAGGUGGGAUUAGCUAGUUGGUGAGGUAAUGGCUCACCAAGGCGACGAUCCCUAGCUGGUCUGAGAGGAUGAUCAGCCACACUGGAACUGAGACACGGUCCAGACUCCUACGGGAGGCAGCAGUGGGGAAUAUUGCACAAUGGGCGCAAGCCUGAUGCAGCCAUGCCGCGUGUGUGAAGAAGGCCUUCGGGUUGUAAAGCACUUUCAGUCGUGAGGAAGGUAGUGUAGUUAAUAGCUGCAUUAUUUGACGUUAGCGACAGAAGAAGCACCGGCUAACUCCGUGCCAGCAGCCGCGGUAAUACGGAGGGUGCGAGCGUUAAUCGGAAUUACUGGGCGUAAAGCGCAUGCAGGUGGUUUGUUAAGUCAGAUGUGAAAGCCCGGGGCUCAACCUCGGAAUAGCAUUUGAAACUGGCAGACUAGAGUACUGUAGAGGGGGGUAGAAUUUCAGGUGUAGCGGUGAAAUGCGUAGAGAUCUGAAGGAAUACCGGUGGCGAAGGCGGCCCCCUGGACAGAUACUGACACUCAGAUGCGAAAGCGUGGGGAGCAAACAGGAUUAGAUACCCUGGUAGUCCACGCCGUAAACGAUGUCUACUUGGAGGUUGUGGCCUUGAGCCGUGGCUUUCGGAGCUAACGCGUUAAGUAGACCGCCUGGGGAGUACGGUCGCAAGAUUAAAACUCAAAUGAAUUGACGGGGGCCCGCACAAGCGGUGGAGCAUGUGGGUUUAAUUCGAUGCAACGCGAAGAACCUUACCUACUCUUGACAUCCAGAGAACUUUCCA
rnacentral:rRNA from 1 species